UGAGGGAAUAUUUGGGGUCAAUGGGCGAAAGCCUGAACCAGCCAUGCCGCGUGAAGGAAUAAGGCCCUAUGGGUCGUAAACUUCUUUUGACGGGGAGCAAUAAGGUCUACGUGUAGGCCGAUGAGAGUACUCGUCGAAUAAGCAUCGGCUAACUCCGUGCCAGCAGCCGCGGUAAUACGGAGGAUGCGAGCGUUAUCCGGAAUUAUUGGGUUUAAAGGGUGCGUAGGCUGUUUGUUAAGUCAGGGGUGAAAUACCGCAGCUCAACUGUGGAAUUGCCUUUUGAUACUAGCAGGCUUGAAUACUGUUGCCGUGGGAGGAAUGAGUAGUGUAGCGGUGAAAUGCAUAGAUAUU
rnacentral:rRNA from 1 species